GAUGAACGCUGGCGGCGUGCUUAACACAUGCAAGUCGAACGGUGAAGCGCCUUCCUUUUUGGUGGGUGUGGAUGAGUGGCUAACGGGUGAGUAACACGUUAGUCACCUGCCCCCUUCUUCUGGAUAACCGCAUGAAAGUGUGGCUAAUACGGGAUAUUCUGGGUCUGUCGCAUGAUGGGUCUGGGAAGGAUUUUGUUUCGCUGUGGGAUGGUCUCGCGGCCUAUCAGCUUGUUGGUGGAGUGAUGGCCUACCAAGGCGAUGAAGGGUAGCCGGCCUGAGAGGGUGGACGGUAACACGGGGGAGAAGACGCGGAGAAGACUACGAGAGGAGGCAGCAGGGAGGAAUAUUGAAUAAGGGGAGGAAGGAUGAAGCAGCGACGCGGCGGGGGGGAAGGAGGCCGGCGGGUUGAGAACUGCUUUCGCGAGUGAAGAAGGCUGGCCGCGUUUGUGGGUGGGUUGACGGUAGCUGGAGAAGAAGCGCCGGCUAACUACGUG
rnacentral:rRNA from 1 species